GGAUUAGAUACCCUGGUAGUCCACGCUGUAAACGAUGUCGACUAGCCGUUGGGCUCAUUUAAGAGUUUAGUGGCGCAGCUAACGCGAUAAGUCGACCGCCUGGGGAGUACGGCCGCAAGGUUAAAACUCAAAGGAAUUGACGGGGGCUCACACAAGCGGUGGAGCAUGUGGCUUAAUUCGAAGCAACGCGAAGAACCUUAUCCUGGGUUUGACAUGUACGGAUGCCCUCGGUGAAAGUCGAGUAAGCUGCCUUCGGGUGAAACGUACACAGGUGCUGCAUGGCUGUCGUCAGCUCGUGUCG
rnacentral:rRNA from 1 species